AGUGAACGCUGGCGGCGUGCUUAACACACGCAAGUCGAACGAGAACGGAAUAUAGCUUGCUAUAUUUGUCAGCUAAGUGGCGCACGGGUGAGUAAUGUAUAGAUAACCUGCCCUUAAGAAAGGAAUAACAGUUGGAAACGACUGCUAAUGCCCUAUAUGCCUUUAAUACAUAAGUAUGCAAGGGAAACGCUUUAGUGCUUAAGGAUGGGUCUGUAUGGUAUCAGCUUGUUGGUGAGGUAAUGGCUCACCAAGGCUAUGACGCCUAACUGGUUUGAGAGGAUGAUCAGUCACACUGGAACUGAGGCACGGUCCAGACUCCUACGGGAGGCAGCAGUGGGGAAUAUUGCACAAUGGACGAAAGUCUGAUGCAGCAACGCCGCGUGGAGGAUGACACAUUUCGGUGCGUAAACUCCUUUUAUAUAGGAAGAUAAUGACGGUACUAUAUGAAUAAGCACCGGUUAACUCCGUGCCAGCCGCCGCAGUAA
rnacentral:rRNA from 1 species